AUCCCAGAUAAAAGUCUUUUGUAUUUGUCUGAUUCAUGGGAGGCCAAUAUUCACUAUGGAAGUUCGCUGAUAGCACCUUUUAUUUUAGUGGGGUGUUUUGAAUAGUUCCUUACCAUAAAUAA